rnacentral:rRNA from 1 species
UACGAAGGGGCUAGCGUUGCUCGGAAUCACUGGGCGUAAAGCGCACGUAGGCGGAUUGUUAAGUCAGGGGUGAAAUCCUGGAGCUCAACUCCAGAACUGCCUUUGAUACUGGCGAUCUUGAGUCCGGGAGAGGUGAGUGGAACUGCGAGUGUAGAGGUGAAAUUCGUAGAUAUUCGCAAGAACACCAGUGGCGAAGGCGGCUCACUGGCCCGGUACUGACGCUGAGGUGCGAAAGCGUGGGGAGCA